AUUGUUGCAGUUAAAACGCCCGUAGUCUGAAUUGGCCAGCAAUGGUCGUACGUAUUUUUACGUUCACUGUGAACAAAUCAGGACGCUUAGAGUAUGGCCACAUGAAUGACUCAGCGCAGUAUGAAGUCUUUGUUUUCUUCCGAAAACAAGCUCAAUGAGAGCCAUCGGGGGUAGAUCUAUCUCAUGACGAGUGGUGGAAUACUUUGACUCAUGAGAGAGAAGCUGAGGCGAAGGCGUCUACCUAGAGGGUUUCUGUCGAUCAAGGGCGAGAGUAGGAGUAUCCAACAGGAUUAGAGACCCUGGUAGUUCCUACCUUAAACGAUGCCGACAGGAGUUUGUCAUUUGUUAAUGGCAGAAUCUUUGGAGAAAUCAUAGUUCUUGGGCUCUGGGGGAACUACGACCGCAAGGCUGAAACUUGAAGGAAUUGACGGAAGGGCACACCAGGGGUGGAGCCUGUGGCUUAAUUUGAAUCAACACGGGGAAACUUACCAGGACCAGAUGUUUUUUAUGACUGACAGGCUUCGGGUCUUUCAGGAUAUUGUUUUUGGUGGUGCAUGGCCGUUGGUGGUGCGUGGGUUGACCUGUCUAGCGUUGAUUCAGCUAACGAGCGAGAUUAUCGCCAAUUAUUUACUUUGCCGAAGUCCUUCGGUUAAAGUUCUAAUUGGGACUCCCUGCGAUUUUAGCAGGUGGAAGAGGGUAGCAAUAACAGGUCCGUGAUGCCCUUUAGAUGCUCUGGGCUGCACGCGUGCUACAAUGUUAGGAUCAAUAGGACUGCGAGCCUGAGAGGGUGCGCUACUCUUAUAAUCCCUAACGUAGUUGGGAUUGACGUUUGUAAUCAGCGUCAUGAACCAGGAAUCCCUUGUAAAUGUGUGUCAACAACGCACGUUGAAUACGUCCCUGCCCUUUGUACACACCGCCCGUCGCUCCUACCGAUUGGAUGACUCGGUGAAAUCACCGGAUGCUUACGAGCAGAAGUGAUUAAAUCACGUUAUCUAGA
rnacentral:ncRNA from 2 species